GAGGGUCUUCCAACUGUCCCUCGAUUCCAAACAUCUGAGCCAGCUCCUCUCGCAGCUCCUGAUAGCUGCUGAACCGGGAGAUGUCUAGUGAGCGCCCAACAGAUCCAGAUUUGUAAACCUUAACAAACGUCCGAGUUGGAUUCGAUGGAUCAACUUGCCCUGAGUUGUGCAACAACUCAGAAGAGUCUUGGACACAACUGUACAGAGAAUUCUGAAAUCCAGAAUCUCCCAGUGGCAUUGAGGAUGAAUCAGGACCAAUUGAUGGAGAAGCGUAAGUGGGCACAUUAGAGGGAAGUAGAAGUCCAGAUGAAUC
rnacentral:misc_RNA from 1 species